AGUAGCAGGGCUGUCCCCUGUGUCAUACAAGAGGAAAGGUUAGAAAAUCAAAUGCUCCAUCGGUACAUGUGGAAAAUGGGUCACCUACUUUGUUUGAGGAAGCACACAGGAUGAUCUUGCUGUAUUUUAAUAUGCCAUGUGCUGGUUUCUAGCAGUUUGGAGAUGGUUUCACAGCCAGGAUGAUAUCUGGUUAUAUCUGAUAUUCUUAUCAGGCUGUGCUGGUGCAUGGGUUGCUGGUUAAUCAACACCUCUGGCAGAGGAAGAACAGCCAGUGGGCUGGGUGGGCAGUUAGGGAUGACAUUGGAAAUGUCCAUGGGACUCAGCUGCACAACCCACCCAAGCCCACACAGAGAGGUGGGACAUGCAGGGAGGCAUUGGUGUUGCUUGCUGUGAACUGCUUCCAGGGCUCCUUCCCAUCGCUAAGUUUCUACCAGUUGGAGGCUUUCCAUCAACGUUCUGCAGUACAUGUAAGGGUGAUCUGUGAAUAAGCUGGAAAUGCUUGAAGGAAUAUUGGAUGGAACAUUGCUCACAAGAGAAGUUGGGAGGUAGGACCUGCGCUGAAUCCAUGAAGCUGUGUUGCCUUUCCUGUGCUGCUGUGGACUAAGGACAUCUUAGAGACAAGAGGCCAGAUUGUUCGCCAUUACUUCCAGCAAGGUAUGUGUCCCAUGGAUCUCGUGGGACUACCCAUGGAGCCAAUACCCGUGGAGCCAUUUCACAAAGUGGAGCUCAGCUGGGCAUGAUUUGGCCUCCACUGUCCAGUGGUUUUAAUUCUGGAGAGGUAGGUGAGUUUACUGCAUUCCUUUACAAGCACAACCCUAUGAGCUAAAAAUACUCGGUACUUUUCAGGGCAAGAUACUGAAAUCAAGAGGGGUUUUAAGCAGGAUAUGCUUGGAGACAUUAGUCAUAACAUUUUACAUCUCCAUAGUUCAUGAAUCAAUGUAUACAUAAUGUUUACCGUGCUGGAGGGAAAGGAUGCCAUCCAGAGGGACCUUGACAGACUUGAGAGGUGGGACUAUGUGAACAUCAUAAAGUUCAGCAAGGCCAAGGGCAAGGUCCUGUACCUGAGUUGGGGAAUCCCAAGCACAAUUGCAGGCUGGGUGGAGAAUGGAUUGAGAGUAGCACUGAAAAGAAGGACUUGAGGGUGCUGGUGCAUGAGAAGCUCAGCACAACCUGGCAAUGUAUGCUCACAGCCCAGAGAGCCAACGAUAACCUGGGCUGCAUCAAAAGAAGUGUGACCAGCAGGUCAGGGGAGGUGAUUCGCCCCCUCUACUCUGCUCUUGUGAGACCUCGCCUGGAGCAGUGCAUUCGAUUCUGGAGUCCUCAACACAGGAAGGAUGUGGGUAUGUUACAGUGGGUCCAGAGGAGGCCCACGAAGAUAAUCUGAGGGCUGGAGCCCAUCCCAUAAGAGGACAGGCUGAGACAGUUGGAGUUGUUUAUCACAGAGAAGACUGCAAGGAGACCUUAUAGCGGUCUUCUACUGCUUAAAGGGGUCCUCCAGGAAGUCUGGGGAGGGGCUCUUUAUCAGGGAGUGCAGGGAUAGGAUUAGAGGUAGUGGUUUUAAGAUGAAGAAGGGUAGAUUUAGAUUAGUUACUAAGAAGAAAUUUUUUUUGUGAGGGUGUUGAGGCACUGGAACAGGUUGCCCAGAGAAGUCAUGGAUGUCCCAUCCCUAGAGGUAUUCUGGCAAGGUUGAUGAGGAUUUGAGCAACUUGAUCCAGUGGAAUUUGUUCCUGCCUAUGGCAGGGGGAUUGGAACUGGAUGAUCUUUAAGGUCCCUAUCAACCCAAACAACUCUAAGUAUUUAUGAUUCUAUAUAAAUCUCCUAUUUUAGCAUGACAAAUAUAUCCCCUCAUAACAGAAACUUCAGCAAAAUCUGAAUGGAAAUGUUCUGGUUGUUGGCAGUCCAAAUGAAGAAGAGACUGGAGCACAAUCAAGCUAAUCGUUGCAUUAAAUAUCUCACAUUCGGCGGCCAGCUCGAACACGCUGAUAGCACCUUGCUCCACAAACAGCCAUGCUGAAUUUGGUGGAGUAACAGCUUGUAUUCACAUAGUGCUUUGCAUUUGAAUGGAUCACUAAAGGAUUUGUGAAUUUGUCAAACUAAAAUAUAGCCCAUUCACUACUGAAGUCAGCUUCCUCCAGCAUAGAAAGGACAUAACUCUGCAAGACAACUGUGUGGAACAGGGAGUGAUGAACAAUGUGCUACGGAAACUGUGAAGGGGAAUUGGGACAAGUGCAGUGCAAUGAUCUAAUUUGACAUUUGGUAGGAAUGUGGGAGUUUUUACGAGCCAAUUUCUGAAAACUACAAUGUGGCAUCGCGUGUAUACAGAAUUUCUGGUGUGGAUUUCUUCUGAAAGCAGAGCCUCUAGCUUUAAGCAUCUGGCUAGAAGGGGUGUGUGUGGAAUUCUCUUUUGACUCUCAAAAAAGAUGUCUGAGAAGUGAGUAAAUGCUAUAUUUCCAAUAUUAGAAGAGGCCUUUAGUCUUGAUCAUAUCACUGCCACAAAGUAUGGCUUCAUCAGAAAAUAGUGGUGAUAGUGAGAACAUGGAAUCUCAAGCUCACACUUGGGAUAUUUCCUGUUGGAUUACUGUAACUUACUGCAGAAUGAAUGCCUGAUAGAAAAGCAUCAGGAAAGACAUCUUUUUUUUAAUGGACUUUACCAGUUAUUAUUGUAGCAAUGAUGGCUUUCAGGGAACGGGAGAUGGCUCUGUCAGAGACGGCAAUGGCACUUCUGAGCUGUUGAUUACCUCCACAUUGUGCCAUUUCACCACAUUUGAUAAAGACAUCUUCAUACUCUGAAAGUUAUCAGUGAUUCAGUGAUAAUACAAAAGUCACAUUGGAUUCCAGGUACUUUCUCUGGCAUCCUGUGUUUAAAAUGGGAUGUCCUCAUGCCAUACAGAGUGAGAUGAUUUCUUUACAAAGAUGCAAUAUAAAACACUCUUGAAAAUACCUUGUGUUCAUGAGAAGCAAUUUUGUAUCUAUGAUUUUUAAACCAAAGUGAGACAUAAAUUAUUGGAUGCUAUCUGGAUAUGGCUGAAAUUUCUGAGGCUCAUUUGACUCCAUUUGUCUGAGAAAAUGCCUACAUUUUGGACCCAAUCUAAUAGCAAUUGCCCAUUGACAGUUGGCGUUGUAUCAAAUCCCAGUGUGCUCCACAGCAGGCAAAUGAAAAACCGAAGUAUUUCGCUGACUUUCUUCAGAAUUGUGAAUGCUGGGGUAAUUUGGAGAUGCUUACAAGGGUCUCCCCGAUGUGCCUGCAUGGAUGCUAUGUGCAGAUAAGUGAUGAUAGGCAAGAACAAAAGAAAGUGAAAAUAUUAGUUAGUUCCCAAGUAAGUUUUGUCAAAGUGUUAGAAAUGUCUACACAGCCUAUUUGUCUCUACCUUGGAAAGCCAGCUAAAGUAUAUCUUCCUUCCCAUCUUUCUCUAAAACUCUAAAUGAGAAACAAAUAAAAUUUUUGUAACCUUAUAUAGCUACUGCCAUAACCUUAUGUAUCAGCCAGCAUCCUUUAUCUCUCACCGGCUGGAAAUCUCACAUUUUCAUUGCCCUGAAUCGCCAGAUGCAUUCAUCAAACAUGACAAAUGCCUCCAAAACACUAAAUCACACCACUCGAUCUCAAUGGGCUACAUAAUCAUUGUCAUACUGACAAUAAAUCUGAAAGUAUCUGUCUUCCAGAGUCAAAUAUCUACAGCUCCUACCAGGGCUGAGAAACUGCAGGGGGGAAACUGAAUCCUAAAUUAAGUUUAAGUGUAUUUCAGUCCUUCCAAAAUUGAAUAAACUCAUGAAUUUUUUGUGAGGCUUUCUGAUUUACUUUUAGAAAAAAGUUUUUUUCUGCCCACAGAAAUGACUCAUGGAGUAAGAGACAUUUUCCAAGAAUAAGGUCAUAUCUUAGUAAGUGCAAAAACGUAGAAGAGAAAAAUUCCUCUGCUCUCCUGGGGAGCUGCCAGUUUGUAGUUGUACCUAUGUGUUGCUCCCUGAUGCUCCUGUGUCCUGAAGGACCCAUACCUGCCCAAAGGUGGCAUUGUAAGGGGAUGGCAACGGCUUUACAGCUUCCACGGGGAGAGAAAUGCAGCAGAACAUCCUCCUCCUUGGUGGGACCCUGAAUCCAAAAGGCAAUGGCAGGAAAACACAGAAGUCAUUGCUGAUCAGACUUUUCAUAUCACUUAAGAAAGGGGAAGUUGGGCUAUGGACAUAAGAGCAAAUUUCCCUAAGGAUCCCAUAUAUCAACUGACCUGUGAGGAGCACAUCAUUUCUGCAGUGAAAGCCAGGCAAUGUAAGGUAAGUUGAUAAACAGAUUCUCAUUCUCUUUCUUUGGAAUUGGUCAACUCUAGCAAAGUUGUACUACCUCAGCCUUAUUUUAUCCAGAUUAUAGCUCAGUCUCCAGUAAACACUUUUUACCUCCAGCAGUACUCCAUGGUCAGAAUUUUUAAAAAGGCAUUUUAAAACGAGCUCAGUAGAAGAUGCAUAAAUGUAAGUGUUUCCUCUUCAAUGUUUAGAACCCAUAUUCAACAGCUGUGUGUUUGUAUGUAGCAUUGCAACAUGGACAUGUAGGAAGUCUUCAAGUCCAUACAUCAAUCUCGAUAUUUUUAGAAGUAUAUUUAUACACAUGUUAUGUGCAUAUGGAAGGACGUUGUUUAAAAGCAAGCAUACCAUUUGCUGCUGGGCAGUCAUACAGCAUUUUCUUAGAUCUCUGCUGAGUGCUAUUUGUUGUAUUUUUAAUUUUAAGGCAGGUCAAAAAGGAGGCUUGCCUGGGACUUUUCACUAUGUUUUUGCCACCCAGUUCCCACUAAAGCUGAGUGUGGGAUUUUGCUGUAAAAAAAAAAAAAAAAAUGCUGAUUUUGCAAGAAUGCAAAAACAGUGCUGACAUCAGUGGGAGUUGUGUAUCUGGAAUGAUUAAAGACCAAAGCCAAUGUAUGACUGCAUGAUAUUAGCCUGGGAUCUGUGAAAUAAGUACUCUUUUCUCUGCAACUGUAUCUUCUUAAUAAGGGGCAACUUAGGGUGACCCAAAACCCAACCCUGCUGAUCUUCUGCACCAUGAACUCCUAAACUCAUAUCCUGGCAGCUGCCCCACUUGACCUUGAAAGCUGUGAUGAACAUCUAGAUAAAGGGGCAGGUCUCCAGGCUGCCCUCACCUCCAAGUCUUUUCUCCUCAGUGGACCUGGCAUGAUGGGCUAGACUGUCCAUCGGCAGCAACAACUUCAUCCUCUCCUCUGGGCUUCCAGGUCCUCACUGCAUUGCUUCUGUGUUCAUGGCUCCUCAGGUGAGUAAAGCUCCCUGAGACCUCCUGCAAGAAGGACGUUCUGAAGUACUAUGGUAAGAAGAAUCGAUUGAAUUGCUAUGGCUGUAGAUAACUUCCACUACAGUUUUUUUCCCAAACAUCAUCUGAUUUACUCCAGUGAUAAAUCCAGUGUUCUGCAUAAACAUUUAUUUCCUUGACAACCUAGCUUUCUGUUAGAAAAAUGCCCAAACCUGGGACAUAUUAUGGCAAUUGACAGGUAAAAAUUCAGCUUGUGCAGACUUAUGGUGUUUAGCAUACAUACCCAAACAGUGAGAAAACAGCAUGUGUCACACACCCACAACUGCCUCAUUAUACUGCGAGAGCCACAGGGAAUGCACACAGUGCACACAGUGACAGGUUCUUUUCAGCCUUUUGUCUUAUUCAGAAUGUUAACAGGGCCAGGAUGAAAAUAUCUGAAAUAUUUUUCAGUGCUAAGGACUCUCCAAGUAAUGAUUCUUGCAGACUAAUUGCCCCCAAACCAAUUUUUUAACCCGCUGUUUUAUACAGUUUAACCUGUCGGGCUAGAGAGAGGUGUCAGAAAGUUAAACCUGUUUGCAAGAGGCUUAUUUGAUAUGAAAAGCAGUCAGGAGCCCAGCAGGAGAGGAUUUUCCUAUCUGAGAAUGACAAAAGAACAUUUUCAUUUUAGAGACGAGUUCAGAGGCAAGCAUGUAAACCAGCCAGGCACGGUACCACGACUAGAGCCCAAAGCCCUGGCACAGGCUUAGCAAGGAUGUCUGCUGGCAUCCUGAGCAUCGCAGAGAAGAUUGCUCUGGGGUUCUGGUUUUAGGGCUGGGCUUUCCCUUAUUUCAUUAUGAUCAGACCUCACAUGCUGGGGUCUGCAGUCUCCAGUUGUGCUCCGAGAGCCAAGGAACCUCCCCAUAAGGCACAGGCUGCAGCUGGAGCUCCAGACACUCCAGGAGAAUAGCAGGUUGUACUUCUCAUACAUCCUCAGAGGCUGUGUCCAGCAGGCAGUGGCAGUCAGUCAGUGUUGGUCAGCCUGUCAGUGUUUUCUGACAGUUGCUCAGGAGUAGAAAGCGUGGACUGUCUGUGUGUGGAGGCUGCUCCAGACCUAGUGGGAUGCAAUUAUCUCUGUGGUGCUUCAUCAGCAUUUUCCAUAUAAAGAGUAUUUUGGAAGGUGGAGAAAACUGCUUUGUGCAAUGAAAAUAUCAAAAAGGACUUGGGAUGGUAGAACAUAAAUAACUAAAUGAUCAAAUUUGCUUUCUUUUCUUGGAAGACAUCGAUAGCACAGACGCUGUUGGUUAUGUUGUCUUUUGAAUGGCUCCAUCCUAUUCUUUCCUCAGCUGCCUGUACCUCCUGUGUUGCCAUGAGGCACUCGAUUUGUCCAAAUAAUGAUCUUUCAAAGAAUAAUGCCCCUUUACUCAAGGUUGAGAAAUAGCUGAAUCAGUGAAAGCAGCCCUUGUAAGUUUUCCUGGGAGGUUACUGACUCAAGUAGUGGUCAGGACCUCAUCCAGCUCAGCCCUUUAGAAAUGCUGACACUGCAAACCCCGCUGGUGAGGUUUCAGACUGUAGUCUUUCCUGUUAGAAAAACCCACAAAUAACUUCAGUUGCUACAGAAUGAAAUAUGAGCCUGUAUUUUUUCUGAUUUCUACAAGUAAACCUGUUAACCUUUGCAUGCAAAGCUGCUUUCCACAUCGGCAGCCGUCCAACCCAGCUGCAGUUUUUCAUGUGAAAUUAUCAUUAAUGUGAUAGUGCAUGUGAAUGACAGGUUUGUGUAGCUGUAGUUAAGAGACUGCUUUCACUUAGAUGGGCCUGGAGCAUGUUGGAUCCAGUGUAGAUGUGCUGUAGUCCAAGUCGGGUGCUGCAAAUGCAAACUUGUACUAUUAUUUUCAUUAAAAUCAAACAUAGGUCCUAAUGAAGCAGCUACAGUUUCAGCACCUAACUUGUUCUGUUAAACAAAAUACGUAUUUUAAAAAUUAAUAAUGAUAAUAGUCAUUUAAUUAUGUGAAAUGCCCACACUUACCACUUUGACUUUUUCUAUAGGAAUAUCUUACUACAAGGAAAAGAGAUUACUCUGAUAUUGGCCAGUGCACCACUCAAACCCAGCCACUGUAAAUAUGAUACAUCUUUUCACCUGAGCCAAACAAUCUACCUUGAAGGAGCUCCAAGAUCAGUUUUGCUCCUUUAAACUAAAUAACUUUUUAAUCAAACCCAUUGAUCAGCGAAAGUUAUAGUUUCACUCCUGCAAAUACUAAAGGUCUUGCUGCCUCUGUUUUGGAAGUACUUAUUUCAGCAGAGAGAGGUAAUUUUCAGUGACUGAUCAGAACUUUCUGUCUCUUCUUCUUGUCGCUGCCAAAAAGAACCUGCUCUUUCUACCUCUGCGAAGGUGCAAGAUCAGAGCACUCACUGAACACCCAGUUUUGCCUGAAGUUUUGUGCUUGGCGAUAUACAAAGGAGUUGAGAAGUUCUGAGAAACAGGGCACUAAGUAUAGGACACUGCAUCCAUGGAGAGUUACAUCUGUUCUAGAGAGAGCCCAAUUGCCUGAAUGUGCUAUGAAAAAGGAAGCACUUGACUCUUUUUUUUAUUCUUGAGUGGAAAAUCAUGUUGUUUUUACUUACAUCUGCCCAAGGCUGAGCAUUCUGACCUCAGUCCAGCAAAGUUUUACUUUAAACCCACACAUAAUUUUAUUAA